AGAAAUGCAUCUACGCACCAUCCACGCCCGUCGUCGGAGAUCCAUGCAUCACUGUCAUCGAUCACUACCGCAAUCACAUGCCACACACCCAAUGGUGCCUCCACCUGCACAGCAUGUUUUCGAUCUCCAUUUCACCAAAAGCUCUUGGUUUGGCCAAAAAUAAAGAUUGUAAGUUCAACCCACUUUUAAAAUUUCUCAAUCUCAACGACUUUAAUCGGUUUUUGGCCCGAAAAUCUCCUACAAAUCGCUAUGAUACCUGAUUGUAGCAAAAGACGAGAUCACACAAAAGUGUUUUUCGGACAUAAUAAUUAUCCAAUCGAAUCAACACCUCAAGAGACCAACCCAAAACCUUUCAACCACUCCUUACUUUGGUUGAUUGAGUCUUUCCCAGAAAGGGUACAAGGUGAAAUGUGUGUUUUGCAGUCACAUAGGUAGAAGGAAAGGAAGAAAGCAGGAGGCACAAAUCAUAGAGAAGGCAAUCAUUUUC
rnacentral:lncRNA from 1 species